rnacentral:rRNA from 1 species
UACAGAGACCUCAAGCGUUAUCCGGAAUCAUUGGGCGUAAAGCGUACCGAUAGGUGGUUUUACAAGUCAGAAGUGAAAUCUUCAAGCUUAACUUGGAGUCUGUCUUUUGAAACUGUAAAACUAGAGGGGCAAAGAGGAAGCUGGAACGAGCGGUGUAGUAGUGAAAUGCGUUGAUAUCGCUCGGAACACCAAUAGCGUAGGCAAGCUUCUGGGUGCCACCUGACACUGCUAGGACGAGAGCGUGGGGAGCGAAUGGG